CGCACCUUGCACCCUUUGGUAUUCCGAAGGGUAUGCCCGGUUGAGUAUUAUAAUCAACUCAAGCCUCUGAUUUUCUAAUUGCAAAGGCGUGACGACCGACGAAGCCAUUCACAAUGGGGUGGCGGUAGUUGGAGUUUUGCUUGGAACUUCAGAGGUAUUGGACUUGAGCGCACGUCGGUUUAAUCUUUAACCGACCCGCUUGAAAUACAUUAGCUGACGACCGCACGACACGGUUUCACUCGACGCGAUAAGCCUAUUCGUUGAGGACGUGGUUGAGCUUCAAGUCGCUUCUAAUCGUCUUAGGACACCCAUUGAACGUUUAAUCUCAACUCGGGUAGGACUACCCGCUGAACUUAA
rnacentral:rRNA from 1 species